rnacentral:rRNA from 1 species
GACGAACCGUCCAAACGUUAUUCGGAAUCACUGGGCUUACAGAGUUCGUAGGCGGUCUGGAAAGUUGGGUGUGAAAUCCCUCGGCCUAACCGAGGAACUGCGCUUGAAACUACCAGACUCGAGGGAGAUAGAGGAAAGCGGAACUGAUGGUGGAGCGGUGAAAUGCGUUGAUAUCAUCAGGAACACCGGUGGCGAAGGCGGCUUUCUGGGUCUUACCUGACGCUGAGACGCGAAAGCGUGGGGAGCGAACCGG